GAUGAACGCUGGCGGCGUGCUUAACACAUGCAAGUCGAACGGGAAUUACUUUAUUGAAACUUCGGUCGAUUUAAUUUAAUUCUAGUGGCGGACGGGUGAGUAACGCGUGGGUAACCUGCCUUGUACAGGGGGAUAACAGUCAGAAAUGACUGCUAAUACCGCAUAAGCGCACAGGACCGCAUGGUCCGGUGUGAAAAACUCCGGUGGUAUAAGAUGGACCCGCGUUGGAUUAGCUAGUUGGCGGGGUAACGGCCUACCAAGGCGACGAUCCAUAGCCGGCCUGAGAGGGUGAACGGCCACAUUGGGACUGAGACACGGCCCAGACUCCUACGGGAGGCAGCAGUGGGGAAUAUUGCACAAUGGGGGAAACCCUGAUGCAGCGACGCCGCGUGAAGGAAGAAGUAUCUCGGUAUGUAAACUUCUAUCAGCAGGGAAGAAUUAGGACGGUACCUGACUAAGAAG
rnacentral:rRNA from 1 species